rnacentral:lncRNA from 1 species
UGAAACAUCAUGAUGAUAAGAUGUUUCAUGUUUAGAUACAUGUAGUAUAUGAUGAUAACAUGCUUAAUGUUUAGAUACGUGAUAAUAAGAUGUUUAAUGUUUAGAUACAUGAUGAUAAGAUGUUUAAUGUUUAGAUACAUGUAGUAUAUGAUCAUGUUUCAUGUUUUGAUACAUGUAGUAUAUGAUGAUAAGAUGUUUCAUGUUUAGAUACAUGAUGAUAAGAUGUUUAAUGUUUAGAUACAUGUAGUAUAAUAUGAUAACAUGUUUAAUGUUUAGAUACAUGUAGUACAUGAUGAUAAGAUGUUUAAUGUUUAGAUACGUGAUAAUAAGAUGUUUAAUGUGUAGAUACAUGAUGAUAAGAUGUUUAAUGUUUAGAUACAUGAUGAUAAGAUGUUUAAUGUUUAGAUACAGGAUGAUAAGAUGUUUAAUGUUUAGAUACAUGAUGAGAAGAUUAGAUACAUCAUAAGAUGUUUAAUGUUUAGACACAUGAUGAUAAGAUUAGAUAAGAUGUUUAAUGUUUAGAUACAUGUAGUAUAUGAUGAUAAGAUGUUUAAUGUUUAGAUACAUGAUAAGAUGUUUAAUGUUUAGAUACAUGAUGAUAAGAUGUUUGAUGUUUAGAUACAUGUAGUACAUGAUGAUAAGAUGUUUCAUGUUUAGAUACAUGAUGAUAAGAUGUUUAAUGUUUAGAUACAUGAUGAUAAGAUGUUUAAUGUUUAGAUACAUGUAGUAUAUGAUGAUAAGAUGUUUAAUGUUUAGAUACAUGAUGAUAAGAUGUUUAAUGUUCAGAUACAUGUAGUAUAUGAUGAUAACAUGUUUAAUGUUUUAAUGUUUAGAUACAUGAUGAUAAGAUGUUUAAUGUUUAGAUACAGGAUGAUAAGAUGUUUAAUGUUUAGAUACAUGAUAAGAUGUUUAAUGUUUAGAUACAUGAUGAUAAGAUUAGAUACAUGAUAAGAUGUUUAAUGUUUAGAUACAUGUAGUAUAUGAUGAUAAGAUGUUUAAUGUUUAGAUACAUGAUAAGAUGUUUAAUGUUUAGAUACAUGAUGAUAAGAUU